rnacentral:rRNA from 1 species
ACGCCGCGUGAGUGAUGAAGGUUUUCGGAUCGUAAAGCUCUGUUGUUAGGGAAGAACAAGUACCGUUCGAAUAGGGCGGUACCUUGACGGUACCUAACCAGAAAGCCACGGCUAACUACGUGCCAGCAGCCGCGGUAAUACGUAGGUGGCAAGCGUUGUCCGGAAUUAUUGGGCGUAAAGGGCUCGCAGGCGGUUUCUUAAGUCUGAUGUGAAAGCCCCCGGCUCAACCGGGGAGGGUCAUUGGAAACUGGGGAACUUGAGUGCAGAAGAGGAGAGUGGAAUUCCACGUGUAGCGGUGAAAUGCGUAGAGAUGUGGAGGAACACCAGUGGCGAAGGCGACUCUCUGGUCUGUAACUGACGCUGAGGAGCGAAAGCGUGGGGAGCGAACAGGAUUAGAUACCCUGGUAGUCCACGCCGUAAACGAUGAGUGCUAAGUGUUAGGGGGUUUCCGCCCCUUAGUGCUGCAGCUAACGCAUUAAGCACUCCGCCUGGGGAGUACGGUCGCAAGACUGAAACUCAAAGGAAUUGACGGGGGCCCGCACAAGCGGUGGAGCAUGUGGUUUAAUUCGAAGCAACGCGAAGAACCUUACCAGGUCUUGACAUCCUCUGACAAUCCUAGAGAUAGGACGUCCCCUUCGGGGGCAGAGUGACAGGUGGUGC